UCCGGCUUGCCACCGGCAGUUCCACUAGAGUGCCCAGCUUAACCUGAUGGCAACUAGUAGCGAGGGUUGCGCUCGUUGCGGGACUUAACCCAACAUCUCACGACACGAGCUGACGACAGCCAUGCAGCACCUGUGUUCUAGCCAGCCGAACUGAAGGAAGGCAUCUCUGCCGACCAAACUAGACAUGUCAAACGUGGGUAAGGUUCUGCGCGUUGGUCAGUCAA
rnacentral:misc_RNA from 1 species